rnacentral:lncRNA from 1 species
CCUAGGUGAGAUUUGAGGAGAUGCCUUGCUGGGGUAAUAAAGGAGCAAUGGUUCGCCAAAGAGCGGCAUAGUCGUGGCAUGAUAUCGAGGGGCUCGGGAUGCGUGAUAUUUGGAAUGGUGGUGGACUGCCAAAAUAUAUAUGGAUACUUAAGGAUUCCUCUUGGUUUGAGGAGGCGCGCAGAGCUUUGGCCGCAUACCUGACUUCUCCAGAUCCGUAGAAGACGAGUCCGCCGUGGCACAAUUAUGUGGGCAAUGAUGGUGCCACGUCCGAAUAGUCUCAUGUGGAGGUAUUCGGAGCAAUGUUAGUUGGAUGAGCUGGCCACAUUGUAUAGGGAGGGG